rnacentral:rRNA from 1 species
UACGUAGGGUGCGAGCGUUGUCCGGAAUUACUGGGCGUAAAGGGCUCGUAGGCGGUUUGUCGCGUCGGGAGUGAAAACACGGGGCUUAACCCCGUGCCUGCUUCCGAUACGGGCAGACUAGAGGUAUGCAGGGGAGAACGGAAUUCCUGGUGUAGCGGUGAAAUGCGCAGAUAUCAGGAGGAACACCGGUGGCGAAGGCGGUUCUCUGGGCAUUACCUGACGCUGAGGAGCGAAAGUGUGGGGAGCGAACAGG